rnacentral:rRNA from 1 species
UACGUAGGGUGCGAGCGUUAUCCGGAAUCAUUGGGUUUAAAGGGUCCGUAGGCGGUUUGGUAAGUCAGUGGUGAAAGCCCAUCGCUCAACGGUGGAACGGCCAUUGAUACUGCCAGACUUGAAUUAUUAGGAAGUAACUAGAAUAUGUAGUGUAGCGGUGAAAUGCUUAGAGAUUACAUGGAAUACCAAUUGCGAAGGCAGGUUACUACUAAUGGAUUGACGCUGAUGGACGAAAGCGUGGGUAGCGAACAGG